rnacentral:rRNA from 1 species
UACGUAGGGGGCAAGCGUUGUCCGGAUUUAUUGGGCGUAAAGCGCGUGUAGGCGCCAGGUAGGUCCGCUGUGAAAACCCGAGGCUCAACCUCGGGACGUCGGCGGAAACCAUCUGGCUAGAGUCCGGAAGAGGAGAGUGGAAUUCCCGGUGUAGCGGUGAAAUGCGCAGAUAUCAGGAAGAACACCAAUGCGAAAGCAGCUUUCUGGGACGGUACUGACGCUGAGACGCGAAAGCGUGGGGAGCGAACAGG